ACACCGGAAUUCUGCCCAAUCGCGGAAAGCCUGAAGCACCUACGCCGCGUGGGGGAUGAAGGCCUUCGGGUUGUAAACCCCUUUUCGGGGGGAAGAAUAUGGNCGGNANCCUNGGAAUAAGCCUUGGCUAAUUCCCUG
rnacentral:rRNA from 1 species